UGUGGGAGCGAGCUUGCUCGCGAUAGCGGUAGGUCAGUCGACAUUAUUUCUGGCUGUCAGUCCGUCAUCGCGAGCAAGCUCGCUCCCACA
rnacentral:misc_RNA from 1 species